AGCCGAGCGGUAUUUCUUCUUCGGAAGAGAGAGAGCGGCGUACGGGUGCGUAACACGUGUGCAACCUACCUUUAUCUGGGGAAUAGCCUUUCGAAAGGAAGAUUAAUACCCUAUAAUAUAUUGAAUGGCAUCAUUUAAUAUUGAAAACUCCGGUGGAUAGAGAUGGGCACGCGCAAGAUUAGAUAGUUGGUGAGGUAACGGCUCACCAAGUCAAUGAUCUUUAGGGGUCCUGAGAGGGAGAUCCCCCACACUGGUACUGAGACACGGACCAGACUCCUACGGGAGGCAGCAGUGAGGAAUAUUGGACAAUGGGUGAAAGCCUGAUCCAGCCAUCCCGCGUGAAGGAUGACGGUCCUAUGGAUUGUAAACUUCUUUUGUACAGGAAUAAACCUACUCUCGUGAGAGUAGCUGAAGGUACUGUACGAAUAAGCACCGGCUAACUCCGUGCCAGCAGCCGCGGUAAUACGGAGGGUGCAAGCGUUAUCCGGAUUUAUUGGGUUUUAAAGGGUCCGUAGGCGGACCCGUAAGUCAGUGGUGAAAUCUCAUAGCUCAACUAUGAAACUGCCAUUGAUACUGCGGGUCUUGAGUAAAUUUGAAGUGGCUGGAAUAAGUAGUGUAGCGGUGAAAUGCAUAGAUAUUACUU
rnacentral:rRNA from 1 species